rnacentral:rRNA from 1 species
UUCGUAGGGUGCGAGCGUUAAUCGGAAUUACUGGGCGUAAAGCGUGCGCAGGCGGCGAUGUAAGACAGUUGUGAAAUCCCCGGGCUCAACCUGGGAACUGCAUCUGUGACUGCAUCGCUGGAGUGCGGCAGAGGGGGAUGGAAUUCCGCGUGUAGCAGUGAAAUGCGUAGAUAUGCGGAGGAACACCGAUGGCGAAGGCAAUCCCCUGGGCCUGCACUGACGCUCAUGCAUGAAAGCGUGGGGAGCAAACAGG